rnacentral:rRNA from 1 species
AGUGGUUCCAAGAAAAGCCUCUAAGCUUCAGGUAAAAAGAAACCGUACUCCAAACCGACACAGGUGAUCAGGUAGAGAAUACCAAGGCGCUUGAGAGAACUCGGGUGAAGGAACUAGGCAAAAUGGCACCGUAACUUCGGGAGAAGGUGCGCCGGUGAGGGUGAAGGACUUGCUCCGUAAGCUCAUGCCGGUCGAAGAUACCAGGCC